AGCAGCCGCGGUAAUUCCAGCNCCNAUAGCGUAUAUUAAAGUUGUUGCAGUUAAAAAGCUCGUAGUUGAAUUUCGGAAUCUGUCCGUUGGUCGGGCUUCAUUGUCCGUACUGGUGUGAUGGGUUCUUACCUUCUGAAUAACCAGCAUGCCAUUCAUUUGGUGCGUUGGGGAAGCAGGACUAUUACCUUGAAAAAAUUAGAGUGCUCAAAGCAGGCUAGUGCCUGAAUACAUUAGCAUGGAAUAAUAAAAUAGGACGGCAUGGUUCUAUUUUGUUGGUUUCUAGGAUCACCGUAAUGAUUAAUAGGGAUAGUUGGGGGCAUUAGUAUUCAAUUGUCAGAGGUGAAAUUCUUGGAUUUAUUGAAGACUAACUUCUGCGAAAGCAUUUGCCAAGGAUGUUUUCAUUAAUCAAGAACGAAAGUUAGGGGAUCGAAGACGAUCAGAUACCGUCGUAGUCUUAACCAUAAACUAUGCCGACUAGGGAUCGGACGAUGUUAAUUUUUUAAUGACUCG
rnacentral:rRNA from 1 species